rnacentral:tRNA from 1 species
GUCGUUGUAUUAUAGUGGUAAGUAUUCUGGCCUGUCACGCAGGUGACCCGGGUUCGAUCCCCGGCAACGGCG